rnacentral:rRNA from 1 species
GAUGAACGCUGGCGGCGUGCCUAAUACAUGCAAGUCGAGCGAACAGACGAGGAGCUUGCUCCUCUGACGUUAGCGGCGGACGGGUGAGUAACACGUGGAUAACCUACCUAUAAGACUGGGAUAACUUCGGGAAACCGGAGCUAAUACCGGAUAAUAUUUUGAACCGCAUGGUUCAAUAUUGAAAGACGGUUUUGCUUUCACUUUUAGAUGGUUCCGCGCCGCAUUAUCUAGUUGGUAAGGUAACGGCUUACCAAGGCAACGAUGCGUAGCCGACCUGAGAGGGUGAUGGGCCACACUGGAACUGAGACACGGACAAGACUACUACGGGAGGAAGCAGAAGGGAAUAUUCGGCAAUGGGCGAAAGCCUGACGGAGCAAGGCGGCGUGAGUGAGGAAGGUCUUGGGAUCGUAAAACUCUGUUAUUAGGGAAGAAAAAAUGUGUAAGUAAAUAUGCACGUAUUGACGGUACCUAAUCAGAAAGCCACGGCUAACUACGUG